rnacentral:rRNA from 1 species
GGCGACGAUCAGUAGCCGGACUGAGAGGUUGAUCGGCCACAUUGGGACUGAGACACGGCCCAGACUCCUACGGGAGGCAGCAGUGGGGAAUAUUGCACAGUGGAGGAAACUCUGAUGCAGCGAUGCCGCGUGAGGGAAGAAGGUUUUAGGAUUGUAAACCUCUGUCUUCAGGGACGAAAAAAGACGGUACCUGAGGAGGAAGCUCCGGCUAACUACGUGCCAGCAGCCGCGGUAAUACGUAGGGAGCGAGCGUUGUCCGGAAUUACUGGGUGUAAAGGGAGCGUAGGCGGGAUCGCAAGUCAGAUGUGAAAACUAUGGGCUUAACCCAUAAACUGCAUUUGAAACUGUGGUUCUUGAGUGAAGUAGAGGUAAGCGGAAUUCCUAGUGUAGCGGUGAAAUGCGUAGAUAUUAGGAGGAACAUCAGUGGCGAAGGCGGCUUACUGGGCUUUAACUGACGCUGAGGCUCGAAAGCGUGGGGAGCAAACAGGAUUAGAUACCCUGGUAGUCCACGCCGUAAACGAUGAUUACUAGGUGUGGGGGGACUGACCCCUUCCGUGCCGCAGCAAACGCAAUAAGUAAUCCACCUGGGGAGUACGACCGCAAGGUUGAAACUCAAAGGAAUUGACGGGGGCCCGCACAAGCAGUGGAGUAUGUGGAUUAAUUCGAAGCAACGCGAAGAACCUUACCAGGUCUUGACAUCGUAUGCAUAGCUCAGAGAUGAGUGAAAUCUCUUCGGAGACAUAUAGACAGGUGGUGCAUGGUUGUCGUCAGCUCGUGUCGUGAGAUGUUGGGUUAAGUCCCGCAACGAGCGCAACCCUUACUGUUAGUUGCUACGCAAGAGCACUCUAGCAGGACUGCCGUUGACAAAACGGAGGAAGGUGGGGAUGACGUCAAAUCAUCAUGCCCCUUAUGACCUGGGCCUCACACGUACUACAAUGGCUGUCAACAGAGGGAAGCAAAGCCGCGAGGUGGAGCGAACCCCUAAAAGCAGUCUUAGUUCGGAUUGUAGGCUGCAACCCGCCUACAUGAAGUCGGAAUUGCUAGUAAUCGCAGAUCAGCAUGCUGCGGUGAAUACGUUCCCGGGCCUUGUACACACCGCCCGUCACGCCAUGGGAGUCGGUAACACCCGAAGCCUGUAGUCUAACCGCAAGGAGGACGCAGUCGAAGGUGGGAUUGAUGACUGGGGUGAAGUCGUAACAAGGUA